GUAUAUAUAUAUUACAUACACACAUAUAUAUAAAAUAUAUACAUAAUAUUUUAAGAAAAUGUCUGUAUAUUCAAAAUAUACUAAAUAUCUUUACACACAUGGCAAUCAUCGAGGAAUAACACAUAAACUAACCAAAUAAAUUCUAUGUUAUUUAGAAAAAAAAUCCUUGGUAUUGGUGAUAAAGACCCUGUGAACACUUUUAAUUCUAUCUUCCAGAUCCAUUGGCGAGUCAAGGUUUACAAUGUGGCCAGUUUGGCUUAGAGAAUGUGACAGAAGUGAUGCUGAGUAAUGAUACUUCCUGGAACCCUGCAAGAAGCCCAAGCAACAGGGAGAGACUAUGUGGAGAAGAAACCAGAGAGGCAUACUGCAUUCUUACAUUCUGGAGAUAAAAGAAGAUAUCCUGGCUGCCAGCAAAGUGGGAGGUGAUAAAAGGAAGGGGGUUAGAGAAUCUCAUCUUUCCUAAUAUGAAAUUCCCAUGGAUUCCCUUGGGCUUUUCAUGAUGACUCAUUCUCACUGUCAGUGUGCUGAUUCCUGAGUGGUAACUGAUACUUCCUUUCCUAAGCUUUUCUAGGGUUUGACCUACUCAUUACUAUUCUUCUCAAUAAGCACUUGUAUUUACACUUUUCUUUGAUCUGCAGUGUCAGCUAGCUCAUAGGUAUUCUCUCUCCAUUUUCCCAAAUUUUACUGAUAAGGCUUAUCAACUAUUGUCUUCACUUCCUUUCUCUUGUCCUUGUGUGUGUGUGAUUUAUUUUGAUUUUAAUGCAAAAAAAAAAAAAAUCCUUAAUGUCAUUCUGAAUGGGUUUGGGUGGUAAGGGCAAUAACUGUGUGUAUUCAAUUUACAAUGUUGCAUCAAGUCUUUACUGACCUCUGAUGUAGGCCAUGGUCAAGUCCUAUGCAGGUCUGAUGAUAUAGUUAGAAGGAGAGAAUUUCUUGUAUGGUAAAUGGGUGGACUCAUACAGGAUGAAACAAUCCCUUCUGCAGCUUAAAAGUCUGAAUAUUUGAGAACCCAAGGUUUUGGUUCUGACCCUGAAGUUUCUUCUUACUAACACAGUGAACUUUAGAACUUCUUAAGAAAUAAGUAAUGUAUCUGAAGCAGCCUCCACUCAUCCGUACUCUUGAUUUUGUGCAUAUCAUUACAUUGCUAGUCUGCAGUUCUGAAGUUCCCAACUAAAGGGAAAUAACCUGAAACUAAGUCUUCAGUAUCUCCAUUAUAAGCUUCUUGUCUCUGACCUAACUUAAUCUCUCAUUCCUAGGAAAAAGAAUUGGCUGUUAUAUUUUUUUGUUCCUUUUCAGUCUUGGUAUGUUCUGCUCCAAAACUUGUAAUAUUUAUCAGAUUUAUUAAUUUCCAUAUAUUACCUUUGUUCAACAGAGUGUUAUCUCCUUGAAGGCAGGACUAAAUCAUAUUCAAUAUUAUUCCCAGUGACAUCCUUGGCAUAUAUUAGAUGGCACUAUUUAUUUAAUGAAUGUAUGCAGAGAUUAAUGACAUGUCAGAUGAAAUACAUAAAAUUAGCUCAGUUGUUCUGAUCACCACAAAGACUUAGAGAAAAGUCAAUAUUUAUGGUUCUUAUUAGAAGAGCAAGUAAACUUCAAAGAUUAAACAGCCUUAUUUAAUUCCUUUCAUUAAGAAUUAAAGUCCCCAUUUCUGUUUUUCGGCAGCAUAUUGUUUUUAUAUCUGUAUUAAAAUUUACUUUAUUUUACUUGGUUUUACAGUUGGCUAUUCAUCUGCUUUUAUAAGAUUAUAAGUGACUCAAGGGCAGAGGUUGUACCAAUCGUCUCUGCCUUUGAAUAGUGCAAAGAACAAUGAACAGAUACAAUGAAUUUAAUUCACGUUUGCAGCAUUAAAUUGAACUGCCCUGAAUUUGUCACAUAUGCAGAAGGAGAAUAUGUGCUGAUUAGGGUGUGAGCUUUCAGUGACUAAGGGAAGAAAAUCAGCAAAGGUUUGCUGUUUACUCUGAGUCACUUUACUAUGGGAAUUGACUGACUAAGGCUUUAACUUAUUGAGCAGACUCAUACUAUACCCCACGCUAUUCCUUCCCUUAUCUCUCACAAAGAAUCUUCUUGAUGCCUUCAAAUAAGAAAGGUUCGACACAUAAGUCAGUGCUAUAUCAAUAUAACCAAUAAAAUUAAUAGAUGGGACCA
rnacentral:lncRNA from 1 species